CUACGAGUUUGAUCCUGGCUCAGGAUGAACGCUAGCUGGAGGCUUAAUACAUGCAAGUCGAGCGGGAUUGGUAGCAAUACCAUGAGAGCGGCGCACGGGUGAGUAACGCGUACACGACCUACCUCUGACAGGGGGAUAGCCCUGGGAAACUGGGAUUAAUACCGCAUAUUAUUCUGAUUAAUAAAGGAUUGGAAUGAAAGUUCAGGCGGUCAGAGAUGGGUGUGCGUCUGAUUAGCUAGUUGGUAGGGUAACGGCCUACCAAGGCGAUGAUCAGUAGGGGGCGUGAGAGCGUGGUCCCCCACACGGGUACUGAGACACGGACCCGACUCCUACGGGAGGCAGCAGUAAGGAAUAUUGGACAAUGGCCGAAAGGCUGAUCCAGCCAUCCAGCGUGCAGGAAGAAGGCCCUAUGGGUUGUAAACUGCUUUUAUCAGGGAAUAAACCUCUGGAUUCACUCCGGAGCUGAAGGUACCUGAAGAAUAAGCACCGGCUAACUCCGUG
rnacentral:rRNA from 1 species